CGUUAUUUCUUCUUAUUGGCGCCU
rnacentral:siRNA from 1 species